UAGAUUUUAGAAAUAGAUUUCCAUUAUCAUUUGGUAAAAUUUAGUCAUCUUCCAGAAAGCUAAAAGUUACCCGAGUCACCUGGGUCCUCAGCUCUCAAACUUGGGUAGGUAUCAGAAUCACCUGGAAGGUUCAUUAAAAAACAGAUUGCUUCUCCACUCUCCUCCCAUCCCCCCAUUCUGAUUUAGUAGGUCUGGGUGGGGCCCAGAAUUAUUUUUGUUUCUAAGUUCCCAGGAGAUACUGAUGUUUAGAGUCAUGAGACCCUGUUUUGUGGAGCACUGACUGUUACUUUCCAGCUGUUUCUGCCUGCCUUCUGUAUGUUAGAGAAAAAAAGAGCAUGUGUGUGUGUGUAUGUAUGUGUGUCUGUCUGUGUGUGUGGAGAAAGAGAUACCUUCAAAGGGUGGCACUGGAGCAGAAUCACGACUUUGGAAGUUCACCAAUGUAGGCUGAUGCACAAAUCUCAGGACUUACAUAACAGAGGAAGAAGUGAUGCCAUUUGUAAUAAAACUACAUUGUCUGCCCUUGCCCUGCAGGGCCCAGCCAGUGGUCAGGGGGAGGCAGCCCUCUGGGGUCUACUCACCCCUAUCUCCCUUAGGCAUCACACAAUUGAGGCAGAGCUGCAUAUUGCUUGUAGUUUGCUUAGACAAUUAUUUAUUUCCCAUAGAUGAUGCAAAGGUACACCUUUGUUCAGUCCUAAAUAUUAGGUUUUUGCUGGAUUCAUGCUUGGGGCAAGGGAUGCAUGCAUAUGUUGAUUUAUUUUUAAUUUCUCUGAUCAUUUUGCAUUUAUUUCAUUGCUAAAGGCAUGUCUCGCUCCCAUUCUGUCACAGGCAUAUUUACCGGGAAAAGAGCCCAACCCUGAAAGACUUUAAAGGCAGAUAAGGCUUCCCUCUUUAUCUGGCCAAGGGAAAUUAGCCUGGGCAAGAGUUCCAAUGAGCCAGCAGAGCUUCGGCUCUCUCCAGAAGUCAACCACCAGUUCAGCCCAACUGACCAACAUUCCUUUCUCCCAACUGAAAAGUAAACCAUCAAAUCUCACAGAUGACUGGAUUGCAGUCUCAUUAUUGAAAAAGUUGGUCCUGAUUCUCCGGGAAGGGCACCAAAUAACUAGUCUCAAAUGCACCUGGUUUUGAUUUCAAGCUGAAGCCCCUGGUCAUGUGCUUCCCUCCCUGGCUAUUGAAUUUCCAGAAUUGCUUCUCUUGGGAUCACCUAAGAGGCAGGCACCAGAAGGCCCACAUUUUACAACCUUGUAAAAAGACCCCCUCCCUUCAAAAAUAUUUUCAGUGAAACUCCCACACUCAUGUGGCUGAAGCGGAAAGGUUAGUUCACACUUAACAAGUUAGUAAAACUUCAUAGACUAAUGUAUGGAGGAGAUUCUCCCAUCAUUUCACACACCCACCAGGAUCUGAAAACCUGUGAACUGACUAUUCAGGCUGCCGCUGACGAGGUCCAGUGGGGUUUCUUCUCUCUUAAGAGAAAGGAAUCAGAAUCCAAAUGACCUGGAUAAAGCACAGCCUUACUUUAAGAAAUGGGAUUACUUGGCAGAGAAUCAGAAACUUUCUCUUGGAAAGGAGGGCAUAUGUUGUUGCCUAAUCUUUAAGAUGAACAAAUAAUAAAAAGUAUUUUUUAAAUAAGAUAAUCAUUUUAACAAGCCGUAAUAAUUCGACUUUCAUCUGUGAAUACACUCUCUGUUCUGUGGUCAGUAGGCUUCCUCUAUUUUUACUAAGUUUUCUUAUCAUUUCAAACAUAAUUUUUAAGAGGUAGGUAAAUGAAAGCUAUUGUACUGAUUUUCAAGAUAUGAAGGCCCAGAGAAAAACACUAGCAAGUCAAUGCCAGAAUGGGAAAUAGUCUAUGUACCCAUUUAUCACAUAGACCUAUAUUGCCUGCUUCCUUUACAUCCUUCCCUCUGCUCCUCCAGACCUUCCUGUGCCCACUGAACGAAGUCUACCCUCAAUGGCCUGCUACUGGAGGCUUCGCACAGUCUGGUGAAACCAAAUCUCUCUAUGACUCUCCAGCUAAGACUGUUUCCUGAGGGCACCUCCCACAGCUGUAUUGUCCUUUAGCUAGGAUGACAGUUUCCUCUCUCAAUACCAACUGUCAACGAGUAGCCCCCAGGUUUGUGGAAAGAGCUGGGACAGGAGGCCACACAGGCCUGGCUUCAGAUCCCAGUUCUUUCCUCACUCGGGAUAAGCCUUUGGGCAAGUCCUUUAACCUCUCUGAGUCUGAGAUUAGUCAACUGUGAAAUGGGGAUGUAGGUUGUUUGUUGCAAGGAUAAAAUUAAGAAUACUUACAUAAUAUGCCUAAAAGUGCUUGGCACUCAGCACAUUCUCUGUAGAUGGCCACUAGAGCUAAUCUUUUCUGCAAACCCUUCCCUGAUGACUCCAGUUACUACUGAUCUUCUUCUGACAAAAGUUUGUGCCACUUACUUUCUGCUAUGUUUUUACUUCAUUUUAUGUACCUCAUGUCCCCAAAUAGCCUGCAAGUGGCAGAACAGUAUCAGCUGUUCUCUCUGUGUCCACUCCUCACUCCACACCAUUGGUCACUCAGUGUUGGGCUUAUUAUCCUCCUUUCUGUUGGAAACUUAAAUUUGCCUUGGGACAGAGAAAGUGCUACACCCUAAGAUUCAGGUAAUGGGGUUCUCUUCUGCCAUGGACCUUGCCUCAAAGCAACAUGGGAUCCCAGGAUCUGCUGCAAUGCCAAGAAGUUUACUUAUACUUCAGGCAUUUCUAUUUACUAAAAGCAAGGGCAAUUUAAAUAAUUUUUAUCUCUUAUAUGGGAUUUUCUUUUUUCUGACAUUCUCUUCUAUCCUUUUCCCUUUUUGGCCUCAGUAAUAUAACUUCAAUUUUGGAAUGAAAGUUGGGGGAUGAAUAUAAUUUCAUCUGCAGAAAUGAGCUGCCUGUCUAGCACAGGGAUCAUCAAGUUUUAAUGUAAAAGUUGAAAUAGUAAAUCUUUCCAGCUUUCAGGCCAUUCUGUCUCUGUCAUGAUGACUUGACUCUGGCAUUGCUGUCCACAAGCAGCCAGGGAAAAUACAUAAACAAGUGGGUGUAAAACUUUAUUAACCACUAUGGGCAGGGGGCUGGAUUUGGCCUCUGCCUGUGGUCUGCCCAGUUCUGGUCUAGCCUACCACUUCUGAGGACACAUUCUGUAAUUAGGAUUAUGUAAGACAAGACUUCACUCUACUUCAACAGUAUUUAUAGGUCUCCAAAGAAUCGAAUGAAGUCUGAUUUUCUGAGUCACAAUGGAAAUAGUAAGGUGGGUGGUUGUGAAAGAAAUCCCAACAUUAGAAAAUACAGGCAUUCUAAAGAUUAAUGUCUGGGCAAAAGAACACACUGUGUUUUUCUACUAAAAAACACGAAAUGAGAAACAAGCAUGGUGGGGAAGUGGCCACUACCCAAAGCCUCUUGAGUAUGCCCCACAUUUACAGUUUGCCUGGGUUUAGAGACACUGCCCUUUUCCAAGAGCCAGAGGCCCCAAAUGGAAACUUUACCCUUCCUUUUUGCUGUCUAUGAAUCAACAGAAAGAUUCCUCCUGUGACCCUUGGACUCCUGAGGAGGACAAUGCAGCGCUCCAGGCUGUUUUCUCCAGCACGUUCAUGGUGGGUGGAUGAGAUUCCCUCUCCAUCCCAGCACAGUGAUGGGCUUGUUCAGGCUUGGCACGAUUGGCCAACAGCCCCAACCCGCCUGGACAAUAGGAACAUUCAACAAUCUGAGUACCAAUUGCUUGAAGUGAAUGCAGGCAGCCUGGCUCCAGGACCUACACUCUGCUAUGGGAUCUCUUCAUCUGUCUGCAUCCCUGCUGCCCUUGUGCCACUGGGAUCAGCCAACACAAUGGGCAAACCAUAAAGCCAGAAGGCUUUUGCAGAAACCCCGUUCCCUCCACUCUCUGAUGAAGUCAACGCGAGAACGCCCGCACCUCACCUCGGCACUCCACGUCAGGGUCUCCCCAGAAGAGUUCCUGGCACUCGCUGCAGGUGCGGCCUCCAAACCCAGGCAUGCACUGGCACUGCCCUGUGAACUGUGGCCAGAACACAGACCUUAGUCAAGCAGGCUUCAGGCCAGAAGCCAGUUGUCAUCUUUUUUUUCUAGCUGCCAGUUAGAAGUGGGAAUGAACUGUUCACCUGAGAAGGUCUCCAUUGACUAGGAAAAGGGACUCCCGCUUCGAUCGUAGGUGUCGAGAGCCCCAUGCCAGCAUCUAACUGCUCUUUUGCAACAGGGCUUGGAAAGGUCUGUGGCAUAUUAUUAUUUAUUUACCUGUUUCCUCACUUUUAUCCUCGCAGAUCAGCCACAAUCCUGGGCCACCUUUGACUCGCCUGACUUAGGGAGUAUGUCCUUAGUAUGUGUCAGGAAACAACAGCACUUUUUACAAUGCUGGGUAUGGCUAACUGGUUCCUUUCAAGUUGAGAAGCUAAGAAAAAAGUCUGCUUCAGCGGCCAGGUACUGAAGAGAAGAGAAAUAGCACACCCUUGCCUAUUCUUAUGUGAGUCUGCAUCUGCAGCUGGGACCCUCUAUUGAAAUGCUAUGGGUGUGUCUGAUGGGGAGUCUGUGCACAGUUAUGUAGACCCAGCCAAGGGGUACAAAUGAAGGCUGAGAUCCAGGCCACGCUGUGUUUGCCAAGCCAUGUGCCCUGGGGCCUUGCUCUAACUGGGGCAAAGUCACCAUAAGCUGACCCUGGGCUCCUAAAGGCAUCAUCCCCAGCAGCAGUCCCUCACCUCAUUGCAAGAUGGCCCGAAGGAAUGAGCAGCGUUGCAGUUGCAUGGGUCACAGCCAGUGCCACUGGCCAGCUGCCAGGUAUUAGGUGCACAGCGGUCACAGUUC